GACAGAUUAUGCAGUGCAUCUUUGCAGCGGAGAGGAGGUCCGCUGGUCCCAUACUUGGAGAACCCGUGGGAGUGGAGCAGGGAAGAUUUCUGGGAAAUGGUGUUUGAAUUAAAUCAUGAAAAUGAGUAGGAGUCUGCUACAUGAGUAAGGGAGGGAAGAAAAGUCAGUAGAGAAGGUAGGCAGUGCUUGCAAAGGCCUGAGCACUGCAAGACUGGACUAAUACACUAUGUGAAGACAAAGGUGAUGUCUGCAAGCCAGGACGAGUACAUCUACCAGAAACUGGGUUCUGCUGGAGUUUGAUCUAGGACAUCCAGCCUCCAGAAUGGAAUGUGCCAUAUGGGGAGACCUGCAUGGAAAGGAACUGAGGAUGCUCUCUGACUAAAAGCUAGAAGGAACUGAGUUCCUCAGUCAACAGUCUACAAGACACUGAAUCUUGCCAGCAGCCAUGCAGUGAGCUUGAAGGCAGAUCUAUCCCCAGUUGAAUCUUCAGAAGAGACUGCAGCCUGAGCAGACACCUUGGUUGCAGUUUUGUGAGACGCCUUGAAACAGAGGGUACAGCUAAGCCUCAGCCACGUUCAUGACCCUCUGAAGAAACUGUAAGAAAACAAAUGUCAUCUUAGGUUAUUUAAUUUUGGAGGUAGUUUGUUACAAAACAAUAAAUAACUAUUAUACUUAUCUUGAAGAUUUCCUGGGGAGAAUAAAUGGGAUUGCAUAUAUAGGUCAUCAUAUGCAGAAUAAUGGUACCCCAGAGAUGUUCACCCCAGAGAUGUUGUAGGAACCUGUGAAUAUGUUACCUUACAUGGCAAAGUUUUCCUGGAUGGUUUAAGUUUAAGAUGGAAAAGUUUUCCUGGAUUAUCCAGUGGGCCCAAUCUAAUCACAUGAGUCCUAACAUGGAGAAUAUUUUUUGGCCAUGAUCAGAGAGAAAUAUGAUGAUGGACGUGUCAGAGAUGCAAUGUGAGGGGACUAAAAUGGUUGUUGCUGACUUUGAAGAUGGAAAGAGGGGAACCCAAGCCAAGGAAUGCAAAAUGGCCUCUAGAACCUGGAAAAGGCAAGAAACGGAUUCUCCUUUAGAGCCUCUGGAAUAAAAUGGAGUCUUGCUGACACCUUGAUUUUACCCCAGUGAGACCAAUAUUGGGGUAUGACCUCCGGAGCUGAAUAAAAUUAUAUGUAUACAUCUUAAUUUCUUGGGAUUUGAUUACUUCUUCUGCUUUGAAAUUAGACCAAGUUUAGCCUGCCUUUGCUAUUUUGGCAUAUCUCCAAUUUUUCAUGAUUUUCUCAUUGCAAAGGCCACAUAAGGACAGUGAGAAGGCAGCCAUUUGCAAGCCAGGAAGAAAGGUCUCACCAGAUACCAACCCUGCCAGCACAUUGAUCUUGGACUUCCAGCCUCCAAAACUGGCCUUCUACUCACAUGGGCUUCCAUGCACCUGCUUCAGGAGACAGCAACACUUGUGCCCGCACUGCGGCAAGCUCCCAUCACCUGGUGUAUAUGCCGCGCUGAGUCUCAUCACACCUUAGUGAAGGAACACAUGGACCCAUAUGUUAGCGGAUGUGUUUACAUUGUUUUAUACAGAAAGGGGAAAUGGAGUCUUACUCUGUCACACACGCUAGAGUCCAGUGGCAUGAUCUCGGCUCACUGUAACCUCUGCCUCCCAGGUUCAAACGAUUCGCCUGCCUCGACCUCCCUAAUAACUGGGACUACAGGUCUGCACCACCACACCAGGCUAAUUUUUUUAUUUUUAUUUUUAUUUUUUUAGUAGAGUUGGGGUUUCGCCAUGUUGGCUAGGCUGGUCUCGAACUCCUGACCUCAAAUGAUCUGCCUGCCUCGGCCUUCCAAAGUGCUGGGAUUACAGGAGUGAGCCACCAUGCCCAGCCUGUUCUUAAGUCUCCUAGAGCAGGGAUUCUGAAACACAAAAUUCAUCUGGCAAAGAGUUCUAAGAUGCAUUUCACAACACUCUACAGAAGGAAGGUUGAGAGCCAAUCAUCUGCACCAGUGGCCAACUUAAAUACAUCCUUGUAUCAGUUUUCCCUUAUUUCCUGUUCUCCUCCCUAGACCUUCAGUCCUGUUCCUGGCAGUCACUUCCAGAAUAAACCAUAUGCAUGCCUCA